UACGUAGGGCGCAAGCGUUAUCCGGAAUUAUUGGGCGUAAAGAGCGCGCAGGCGGUCGUUCAAGUCGCGUGUGAAAGCCCCCGGCUCAACUGGGGAGGGUCACGCGAUACUGAUCGACUCGAAGGCAGGAGAGGGAAGUGGAAUUCCUGGUGUAGCGGUGAAAUGCGCAGAUAUCAGGAGGAACACCAGUGGCGAAGGCGGUUGCCUGGAGCUUUGCUGACGCUGAUGCGCGAAAGCGUGGGGAGCGAUCAGG
rnacentral:rRNA from 1 species